CAAUAGCGUAUAUUAAUGUUGUUGCAGUUAAAAGCUCGUAGUUGGAUUUCUAGCGGACGCGACUGGUCUGCCCGCAAGGGGUUUGCACUGAGUUGUCGUCUGUUAUCCUUGAGAAGAGCGGUUCUGGCAUUCAUUUGUCGGAGUCGGGAUUCUCAUCGUUUACUGUGAAAAAUUAGAGUGUUCAAAGCAAGCUUAGGCUCUGAAUAUAUUAGCAUGGAAUAAUAAGAUAGGACCUUGGUGGUUUAUUUUGUUGGUUUGCACGCCGAGGUAAUGAUUAAUAGGGAUAGUUGGGGGUGAUUCGUAUUCAAUUGUCAGAGGUGAAAUUCUUGGAUUUAUGGAAGACGAACUACUGCGAAAGCAUUUACCAAGGAUGUUUUCAUUAAUCAAGAACGAAAGUUAGGGGAUCGAAGACGAUCAGAU
rnacentral:rRNA from 1 species